rnacentral:rRNA from 1 species
UGGGGAAUAUUGCACAAUGGGCGCAAGCCUGAUGCAGCCAUGCCGCGUGUAUGAAGAAGGCCUUCGGGUUGUAAAGUACUUUCAGUCGGGAGGAAGGUGGUAAGGUUAAUAACCUUAUCAAUUGACGUUACCGACAGAAGAAGCACCGGCUAACUCCGUGCCAGCAGCCGCGGUAAUACGGAGGGUGCAAGCGUUAAUCGGAAUUACUAGGCGUAAAGCGCACGCAGGCGGUUGAUUGAGUCAGAUGUGAAAUCCCCGGGCUUAACCCGGGAAUUGCAUCUGAUACUGGUCAGCUAGAGUCUUGUAGAGGGGGGUAGAAUUACAUGUGUAGCGGUGAAAUGCGUAGAGAUGUGGAGGAAUACCGGUGGCGAAGGCGGCCCCCUGGACAAAGACUGACGCUCAGGUGCGAAAGCGUGGGGAGCAAACAGG